rnacentral:sRNA from 1 species
CACCAUCUCCUCAGUAAAUAACUAAAUCAAAAAAUAGCACCCAUCAGGGGAAGGUAAGAACCUUCGACCAAGGUUCGCGCCGAGCAUAGCGAGACAACGACGCGCAGCGGCGGCCCGAAGGGCGAGGAACAACGUGACGAGUAAUCCUUCCCCCACCACCU